CGGGGCCUGGGGCGCGCGUGCCCAAGUCCCGAGAGGCGGCGGCUGCGCCACUGCGGGGCGCGCCGACUCGCUGGGCAGCGGGGACUCGGCGGCCCUGCAGCUCUCGCGUCCCUCCUCCUGCCUCCCUGCGUGACCCGCCUGCUUUGGAGGGCACGCAAGGUCCGCAGUGGGUGCGGGGACGUCCGCAGAACUGGGCCCCCGAAUCUCCGUGGACCUGGGACAGAAACCACGCGCUGGAGCAUUUGGUUCAAGGAAGGAUGAAGGCGUGCACAGAAAUUUGUCUAGAAGAGGCGGGAGUGAGAACCGAAUCUGCUUGAGGCUGGCUUUCCUCUCCCCCCUCCCCCCAGCAACCUCUGUCUCCAACAACCGGUCCACAGCCAGCUUGCGGCAGAAACCAGAGCACAGACUGCAGGGGCCAGGUGAGUAGAGGCCAGACAACACUCCACCUGUCUGAGCUGGUUAUCACCAAACCGCAGGUGAGAACCCGGGAAAUAAGCCCUGCCCUAAAACACAGCAGCACCGGCCUUGCGGAGAAAAUUUCAUUUUCAGAUUAAGAAGCCUGAAUGUCCAUGUUCUGGACGGCAGGGGCUGAUGCAACACAACCUCCUCAAGAAAAAGAAAGCAUUUGUCUCCACGUGCAAUUUAAAACCUUUAAAGCCUUUUCUUAUUUCUCCCUUAAAAAAAAAGAGAAUAAACCACCAAAAAAGAAAGAUACCAUCUGCUAAUGCAAUCGCUAAUUGGCAAGGGAGAGUUCUUACAUGUUCCUACCAACAGACCCAAGAGGAGGCUGGCUUUCAGGACCAUCACUCCUGUUCCUGGAAUAAGCAGCUGAGUCUGCCAGGCACCAUGCUGCAGGCUGGAGCUGAGGGGAGUUGGGGUGGGCCAGGGAGCCACUUCCCUCACAUGCCUCUAAUCUCAUCAACCAGAAGUGCCCAGAUUCAAUAUAUUCUCUUCCGCUUUUGUUUUUUCAAAAUAAAAAGAAGAAGAAGAAGAAGAAAGAGUGAUGUUAAAAUUUUGAAUUCAGAAACAGUUGCCAUGUGGGGAAUUGAUUUUGGCUUGAAACAGGCCACCCGCUUCUCAUCAGUGGCUCCUGGCAGGGUUCCCGGGCUCAGGACACGCCUCCUCCACUCAUUUCCUGGGAAGUCUGUUCCUCCGAGGGCCGUCUCCUCGCCCCUGCAUCACACCUGGAUGCGGUUUCCUUGAGCUGCUGGGUGGCGUUGCCCUGCUCCACUCACUCCACGGCUGUCUUGGCUCCAACAUCCCCUGCCUUUCCUCCUGCUCCUGCCAGCUGAUGGAGAAGGGGCAUUCUGAAGAGAGCAGAGGGCAGUAGCAUGGGGCCGGGGCCUGGGGGUGGAGCUGGGGUGAGGCUCAGGCAGAUAACAGGGGCCAAGGGGGGUCUGAGGCAGCCAGAACCGCCUCCACGAGCCUGUUCCAGCUCCCAGCAGGCUCACUUAGGCUCCCUCGGCCUGGCUCAGAACUCUUUUCUUAAUCCAAUAAAGGGGCACUUGCCUACAUUUGAAAA